UACCAGGGCAUGACAUGCCGCGAAUCUCUUGAAAGAGAGGGGUGCCCUCAGGAACACGGACAUAGGUGGUGCAUGGCUAUUAUCAGCUCGUGCUGUAAGGUGUUGGGUUAAGUCUCUCAACGAGUGCAACCCUCGUGUUUCUAUUUUGGAUCCAAAGAAGAAGAAUAAAAUCCAUAGAAGCUCCUAACUAAAAAUGUGAUUUCUAAAUAUUUUGUCUCUAGCAUGACCACUUGAGAAAAUGUGGAGAAAAGUAGGGGAAAUGGCCGAUACUACUGG
rnacentral:ncRNA from 1 species